UUCCAUAUUUUAUUUUAUAUGGUAGUACCUGCUCUAUGUUUAUUAUAAAUGGCCGCAGUAUCUUGACUGUGCGAAGGUAGCAUAAUUAAUUGCCUUAUAAUUAAAGGCUUGUUUGAAUGGUUUGACGAGGUAAACACAAAUGUUUAAUUUUUAUUUGAAAUUUAUUUAGAGGGCACAGAAUCCUCUAUUGUUAAUUAGACGGAAAGACCCCAGGAUCUUUCUUUUUUGUCUGGGGCAGAUUCGUAUAUUUCAUACUUAUUUUGAUCCUUAUUAAGUAUAAUGAUUUAAGUUACCCUGGGGAUAACAGUGUAAUAGUUUAGUAGAGUUCUUAUCGAAUAAACUGUUUGCUACCUCGAUGUUGACUUAGAUAAAUAGUUUAGGCGCAGUAGUCUAUUCUCUUGGUCUGUUCGACCAGUUUUAUCUCC
rnacentral:rRNA from 1 species